GUAAAACGACGGCCAGUGAAUUGUAAUACGACUCACUAUAGGGCGAAUUGGGCCCUCUAGAUGCAUGCUCGAGCGGCCGCCAGUGUGAUGGAUAUCUGCAGAAUUCGCCCUUCAGGCCUAACACAUGCAAGUCGAACGCCCUCCUCGGAGGGAGUGGCAGACGGGUGAGUAACACGUGGGAACGUGCCCGAAGGUACGGAACAACUCCGGGAAACUGGAGCUAAUACCGUAUGUGUCCGCAAGGAGAAAGAUUUAUCGCCUUCGGAUCGGCCCGCGUCAGAUUAGCUAGUUGGUGGGGUAAAAGCCUACCAAGGCGACGAUCUGUAGCUGUUCUUAGAGGAAGACCAGCCACACUGGGACUGAGACACGGCCCAGACUCCUACGGGAGGCAGCAGUGGGGAAUCUUGGACAAUGGGCGCAAGCCUGAUCCAGCCAUGCCGCGUGGAUGACGAAGGCCUUAGGGUUGUAAAAUCCUUUCAGCGGGGACGAUAAUG
rnacentral:rRNA from 1 species